rnacentral:rRNA from 1 species
AUUGAACGCUGGCGGCAGGCCUAACACAUGCAAGUCGAACGAGUGGCGGACGGGUGAGUAAUGUCUGGGAAACUGCCCGAUGGAGGGGGAUAACUACUGGAAACGGUAGCUAAUACCGCAUACCAUCGGAUGUGCCCAGAUGGGAUUAGCUAGUUGGAGGGGUAACGGCCCACCAAGGCGAUGAUCAGUAGCCGGUCUGAGAGGAUGAACGGCCACAUUGUGACUGAGACACGGUCCAGACUCCUACGGGAGGCAGCAGUGGGGAAUAUUGCACAAUGGGCGCAAGCCUGAUGCAGCCAUGCCGCGUGUAUGAAGAAGGCCUUCGGGUUGUAAAGUACUUUCAGCGAGGAGGCGUUACUCGCAGAAGAAGCACCGGCUAACUCCGUGCCAGCAGCCGCGGUAAUAC